GCCGGGGUAGCUCAGCUGGGAGAGCAACAGACUGAAGAGCCACGCAUUCUGGAGGUCCCGUGUUCAAUCCACGGUCCUGGCA